CUUCCUGGAUUCCUGUCUUCUUCCUAGAUCUUGGUCCGGUAAGUUUUCUAACAUCUUGUUGGUUCUCUGAUGCUUAAAGAAAAUUCAAAAACAUUUCACCACUUCUUUUUAUCUGUCUUCAGUGGAAGGGUUGGUCUGAAUAACCUAGUCCACCAUUCAAGGCCCAGUUGGCUUUCCUUAAGGUUUUGCUACACAGUUUUGUAUUUCUAAACCAUGUAUCAUGCGGGUUCCUUUUCUGUGCUUAUAAAACUUUUUAUAUGGAAUGUAUUUUUCUGAAAAUUGUUUUUCAGUAUCACCCCUGUUGAUGUGUGUGGCUUUAGUUCAUUUAUUUUUGCCAAUGUAUAGAGUUUCAUUGUGUAAAUAUAUCAAACUUUAUUAAUUGUCCUAUCAAUUGGUAUUUGGGUUAUUUUCAAUUUAUUUGCUAUUAUGAACAAUGCUAACAUUGAAUUCAUAACAUUUAGUGCAAAUAUUUUAAAAGAGAUCUUAGUAAAUUGAGAGAUAUAUCAUGUUCAUGGGUAAAGAGACACCACAUUGCAAACAUGUCUGUUUUCCCCAAAUUGAUUUAUAGAUUCAAUUAACUUUUAUAUAUAUAACAACUUCAACAUGCUUAUUCCCACGGAGAGUCCAUUGCUCAUUAGACACCAUGCUGCUCUAGAGACACAUGGAAAAAUAGAAGAUGGACCCUGACUUCCACAAAAUAGUUGUUUUAAAUAUCGCUUUGUCUUCCACCUCUUCUUUGCCCAAAGUAAUAACUUCUUUCAAUUGAGAAAAAGAAGGCCAAAUUAAAUAAAUACUUUCAACUUUAAGUAGGUGUUAUGCUAUGAAGUACAAAGUAUGAAGUAUGUUCUAAAUGUUCUAAAUCUAGAACACUUUCACCUAGGACAUGUUCUGAGAAUCACAUUCCCAGGUGGUAGCAAAUAGUCAUGAACAGAAUUAGGGAGAGGCAAACAGGGCACACAGAUGUUACUUGAUGUUACUUAUGUUAUUUUCCUUUAUAAUUAUUCUUUUGUGUUUACUCAAUAUUUAACAGAAACAAUUUUAAAAACUGUUUUAUAAUAGAGGGGAAAAUGUUUUAGAGGCUUAUGUUGCAAUUCUUAGUUUGGAUGGUGAGCUCAUGAGUAUUUGUUUUAUAUGCAUACACAUUAUAUAAACACACAUACAAUCACAUCUAUACUUCCAUAUGUAUCAAAUGUUACAAAAUACAUCAUUAAAAAUGUCAGGAACAGAUCACCCCUCCACCUUUGCCCCCAACUCCGUACAUAGUGGACUCACUCCUCCCCAGUCCCAUACCUC
rnacentral:lncRNA from 1 species